UUUCAAAAUGAGGACCCCCCCUCGGGGUGGCCAGGACCUGCCUGUCUGAAAGGUUCCGGCGAAGCGGCGAGCACAACGGGCGUGGUGUGCAGGCUUAAGGAAUGCGAAAGGAGAAUAAGGAUAAAGUCCUCAGCUGCUGCUCCAGCAUGUGCCUGCAUGCCACCAUGCUUCCUGCCAUGAUGAUAAUGGACUAAACCUUUGAAACUUUAUGGACCAGGAAUUCAUGAACACCUUAGCUGAGUGAUUCUGGAUCCAGAUGUCUCAAAAAGUUGCAGAUCUGAAGGCUGGGAAGGCCAAGAUCAUGAUGCUGGCCAAUUUGGUUUUUGGUGAAGGUCCUCUUCCUGCGUGUAUCCUCACGUGGGAGAACCAGAAAGCUCUGUUGUGUUACCAUUUUCUUACAAAGGCACCAAGCUCACGUGGGUUCCACUGUCAUGGUCUUACUUAGACCUAGGCACCCCCAAAGGCCCAUUCUAAGACCACCACAUUAGAGGUUAGGACUUUAGAUAUGGAUGGAGCACAAAUGUUUAGUUUGCUGGUGACAGUUUAAUCCUGUGACAUGUGAGAGGGGAUGAGACACUGUGAAGUAAAGAGGGCCCUUCUGGAGACUGGCCCUUCUGGAGACUGGCCAUUACAAUCCUGAACUGAAUUGCUUUAAAACUGGGACUUGUUUAAAGGUUAUCUUGUACAAAACUCUAACCAAUAGGAUAACAAACUGAUGUUUACAAAUGAGAUAGAGGGCUAUGGGUGUAGCUCAGUGGUAUGCACCUGCCUAGGAGUUAGGAGAUCCAGGGUUUGAUCUAUAUUGAGAAGUGGAGGAUGGAGUAGGUGUUUUCUCUUUUUAUAUCCAUAGAGUUAAAAACAAGUGAACUGUUUCCUGUACAAUCUUUGUGGUGAAUAAGGCAUUUCCAAUCCACCCUAUUAGAGUCCUGAUCAUUUUGCAGAUCUCGGGUACAGAAAUUUACCUGGGCGAUGAGAAACUAUACGCCCUUAUUGAUAGGGUGAUGCCAGCAAAAGUGAGCCUAGUGAGCUAAGAUGAAAGCAAUGUUAACCAGCGGACAGAAGCACCUCACAAUAAGCAGUCAAGGUUCUUGGAUGACGAACGCUGAGUGAAGCUGAGAAUUCUGUCUGUUUUCAUUACAGCUCAGAAUGAGGAAGCCCCAAGCAAGUAUUCCAGGCUGACAGUGUCCUAAUGCCUAGCUGGUGUAUCAGCACUCAUUCUCCCCCAGCAGGGGGUAGG